rnacentral:rRNA from 1 species
AUUGAACGCUGGCGGCAGGCCUAACACAUGCAAGUCGAACGAGUGGCGGACGGGUGAGUAAUGUCUGAGAAACUGCCCGAUGGAGGGGGAUAACUACUGGAAACGGUAUCUAAUACCGCCUACCCUAUGAAGCGCCCAGAUGGGAUGAGCUAGUAGGUGGGGUAACGGCUAACAUAGGCGACGACCCCUCGCUGGUCUGAGAGGAUGACCAGCCACACGGGAACUGAGCAACGGUCCGGACCCACACGGUAUGCAGCAGUGGGAAUUAUGGCACAAUGGGCGCAAGCUUGAUGCAGCCAUUCCGCGUGUAUGAAGAAGGCCUUCGGGGUUUAAAGUACUUUCAGCGAGGAGGCGUUACUCGCAGAAGAAGCACCGGCUAACUCCGUGCCAGCAGCCGCGGUAAUAC